GGGCCCAUAGUAUAGCAGUAAAAUAUUCCCAUGGCAUGGGAAAGUCGAGGGUGCGACUCCCUCUGGGUCCA
rnacentral:tRNA from 1 species